rnacentral:rRNA from 1 species
UACGUAGGGUCCGAGCGUUGUCCGGAAUUAUUGGGCGUAAAGGGCGCGUAGGCGGUUUGUUAAGUCGGCUGUGAAAGCCCGGGGCUCAACCCCGGAGGGUCAGCCGAUACUGGCAGACUAGAGUACGGAAGAGGUAGCUGGAAUUCCCGGUGUAGCGGUGAAAUGCGCAGAUAUCAGGAAGAACACCGGUGGCGAAGGCGGUUCUCUGGGCAUUACCUGACGCUGAGGAGCGAAAGUGUGGGGAGCGAACAGG